CAGGAUGCAGCUGUAGGAACACCACUGGGUCCCUGGAUGUCAUGGCAUGAGGAAAUAUUACAAGUACCUUUCAGAGCUGACUGGCAAAUAAACUCCUGAGGUGAUGGUCUACCCCAAUAUUACUUCUUCCAAGAGCAACCUAACUGACUUAUCUUCCUCAGUUCUCUGUGAUGAACUUUUGUAGAGCCAUACGAAAUUAGGUGGCCUAGAGGGGCAAGACUGGUGUGGCAAAUUGGGAUCAGCACUGUUGAUAGACCUUGUAUUGAAGACAGCGUAACCCCCAAGAGGAAAGGAGCUUGGAGCCCUGAAUCAGAGUAGAAGACAGGCUGAAUGAAUACCAGCCUUGGACUGUUGUGUGAACGAAAAACAAGUUUUGAGAUUUG
rnacentral:lncRNA from 1 species